AACGUAGGUUCCGAGCGUUAUCCGGAUUUACUGGGCGUAAAGCGCGUUCAGGCGGUUCGGCAAGUCGGGCAUGAAAUCUCUCGGCUCAACCGGGAGAGGUUGUCCGAUACUGUUGGACUUGAGGGCAGUAGAGGGUGGUGGAAUUCCGGGUGUAGUGGUGAAAUGCGUAGAUAUCGGGAGGAACACCAGUGGCGAAGGCGACUACCUGGCCUGUUCUUGACGCUGAGGCGCGAAAGCUAGGGAGCAAACGGG
rnacentral:rRNA from 1 species